UACGUAGGGUGCAAGCGUUAAUCGGAAUUACUGGGCGUAAAGCGUCCGCAGGUGGCUGUGUAAGUCUGCUGUCAAAGAGCGAAGCUCAACUUCGUAAAGGCAGUGGAAACUACACGGCUAGAGUGCGUUCGGGGCAGAGGGAAUUCCUGGUGUAGCGGUGAAAUGCGUAGAGAUCAGGAAGAACACCGGUGGCGAAGGCGCUCUGCUAGGCCGCAACUGACACUGAGGGACGAAAGCUAGGGGAGCGAAUGGG
rnacentral:rRNA from 1 species